AGAGUUUGAUCAUGGCUCAGAUUGAACGCUGGCGGCGUGCCUAACACAUGCAAGUCGAUCGGUAACAGGUGUAGCAAUACAUGCUGACGAGAGGCGGACGGGUGAGCAAUAUUUGGGAAUCUGCCUAUUAGUGGGGGAUAACCCGGGGAAACUCGGGCUAAUACCGCAUACGCUCUACGGAGGAAAGCCGGGGACCGCAAGGCCUGGCGCUAUUAGAUGAGCCCAAAUCGGAUUAGCUAGUUGGUGAGGUAAUGGCUCACCAAGGCGACGAUCCGUAGCUGGUUUGAGAGAACGACCAGCCACACCGGAACUGAGACACGGUCCGGACUCCUACGGGAGGCAGCAGUGGGGAAUAUUGGACAAUGGGCGAAAGCCUGAUCCAGCGACGCCGCGUGGGUGAAGAAGGCCUGCGGGUUGUAAAGCCCUUUCGGUUGGGAAGAAAAGUAUUGACCUAACACGUCAGUACCUUGACGUAACCAACAAAAGAAGCACCGGCUAACUCUGUGCCAGCAGCCGCGGUAAUACAGAGGGUGCAAGCGUUAAUCGGAAUUACUGGGCGUAAAGCGCGCGUAGGCGGCUUGACAAGUCGAGUGUGAAAUCCCCGGGCUUAACCUGGGAGCUGCAUUCGAAACUGUCUUGCUAGAGUAUGGGAGAGGGAAGUGGAAUUUCAGGUGUAGCGGUGAAAUGCGUAGAUAUCUGAAGGAACAUCAGUGGCGAAAGCGACUUCCUGGACCAAUACUGACGCUCAGGUGCGAAAGCGUGGGGAGCAAACAGGAUUAGAUACCCUAGUAGUCC
rnacentral:rRNA from 1 species